UACGAGAGGCCCAAACGUUAUUCGGAUUUACUGGGCUUAAAGAGUUCGUAGGCGGUGCAGAAAGUGGGGUGUGAAAGCCCCCCGGCUCAACUGGGGAGGGGUCAUUCGAUACUGAUCGACUGGAAGGCAGGAGAGGGAAGCGGAAUUCCCGGUGUAGUGGUGAAAUGCGUAGAUAUCGGGAGGAACACCAGUGGCGAAGGCGGCUUCCUGGCCUGUUCUUGACGCUGAGGCGCGAAAGCUAGGGGAGCAAACGGG
rnacentral:rRNA from 1 species